GUGGGGAAUAUUGGACAAUGGGCGCAAGCCUGAUCCAGCAAUGCCGCGUGUGUGAAGAAGGUCUUCGGAUUGUAAAGCACUUUCGGCGGGGACGAUGAUGACGGUACCCGCAGAAGAAGCCCCGGCUAACUUCGUGCCAGCAGCCGCGGUAAUACGAAGGGGGCUAGCGUUGCUCGGAAUGACUGGGCGUAAAGGGCGCGUAGGCGGCAUAUACAGUCAGGCGUGAAAUUCCUGGGCUUAACCUGGGGGCUGCGUUUGAUACGUAUAGGCUAGAGUGGGGAAGAGGGUUGUGGAAUUCCCAGUGUAGAGGUGAAAUUCGUAGAUAUUGGGAAGAACACCGGUGGCGAAGGCGGCAACCUGGUCCUUGACUGACGCUGAGGCGCGAAAGCGUGGGGAGCAAACAGG
rnacentral:rRNA from 1 species